rnacentral:SRP_RNA from 1 species
GCUGGGUGUGGUGGCUCACACCUGUAAUCCCAACACUUUGGGAGGCCGAGGCAGGUGGAUUGCCUGAGGUCAGGAGUUCAAGACCAGCCUGGCCAAUAUGGCGAAACCCUGUCUCUA